rnacentral:rRNA from 1 species
GAUGAACGCUGGCGGCGUGCCUAAUACAUGCAAGUCGAGCGAACAGACGAGGAGCUUGCUCCUCUGACGUUAGCGGCGGACGGGUGAGUAACACGUGGAUAACCUACCUAUAAGACUGGGAUAACUUCGGGAAACCGGAGCUAAUACCGGAUAAUAUAUUGAACCGCAUGGUUCAAUAGUGAAAGACGGUUUUGCUGUCACUUAUAGAUGGAUCCGCGCCGCAUUAGCUAGUUGGUAAGGUAACGGCUUACCAAGGCAACGAUGCGUAGCCGACCUGAGAGGGUGAUCGGCCACACUGGAACUGAGACACGGUCCAGACUCCUACGGGAGGCAGCAGUAGGGAAUCUUCCGCAAUGGGCGAAAGCUUGACGGAGCAACGCCGCGUGAGUGAUGAAGGUCUUCGGAUCGUAAAACUCUGUUAUAGGGGAAGAACAAAUGUGUAAGUAACUAUGCACGUCUUGACGGUACCUAAUCAGAAAGCCACGGCUAACUACGUG